UAAGGGAAUCUUCCACAAUGGACGCAAGUCUGAUGGAGCAACGCCGCGUGAGUGAAGAAGGGUUUCGGCUUGUAAAGCUCUGUUGUUAAAGAAGAACGUGGGUAAGAGUAACUGUUUACCCAGUGACGGUAUUUAACCAGAAAGCCACGGCUAACUACGUGCCUG
rnacentral:rRNA from 1 species